rnacentral:rRNA from 1 species
UUUUCAAAAACAUCUUUUCUUGUUAGUUUUUGAAGUAUGGCCUGCCCACUGACUUGAGAGUUGAAGGGCCGCGGUAUUUUGACCGUGCAAAGGUAGCAUAAUCAUUAGUUCUUUAAUUGUGAUCUGGUAUGAAUGGCUUGACGAGGCAUAAUCUGUCUUAGGGGCAUUGGUUUAUUGAAUUUGGUUUUUGAGUUAAAAUUCUUAAAUGUUUUUAUGGGACGAGAAGACCCUAUAGAGUUUGACAAUUUUCUUAUUUAUUCGUUGUUUGUUUUAUUUACAUUGAGUGGGAAUAGAUUGUUUUGUUGGGGUGAUGGGAGGAAUAUUAUUUAACUCCUCUUUGUUUUUAUAUAUUUAUGUAUAUGUUUUUGAUCCAUUUAUUUUGAUUAUAAGAUUAAAUUACCUUAGGGAUAACAGCGUUAUCUUCCUUGAGAGUUCUUAUUGGCGGGGGGGUUUGCGACCUCGAUGUUGGAUUAAGGUGAAUUUUCGGUGCAGGAGCUGAAAGUGAUUAGGUCUGUUCGACCUUUAAAAUCUUACGUGAUCUGA